rnacentral:rRNA from 1 species
CCUACGGGAGGCAGCAGUGGGGAAUUUUGGACAAUGGGCGCAAGCCUGAUCCAGCAAUGCCGCGUGAGUGAAGAAGGCCUUCGGGUUGUAAAGCUCUUUUGUCAGGGAAGAAACGGUCCUGGUUAAUACCUGGGGCUAAUGACGGUACCUGAGGAAUAAGCACCGGCUAACUACGUGCCAGCAGCCGCGGUAAUACGUAGGGUGCAAGCGUUAAUCGGAAUUACUGGGCGUAAAGCGUGCGCAGGCGGUUUUGUAAGUCUGACGUGAAAUCCCCGGGCUUAACCUGGGAAUUGCGUUGGAGACUGCAAGGCUGGAGUCUGGCAGAGGGGGGUAGAAUUCCACGUGUAGCAGUGAAAUGCGUAGAGAUGUGGAGGAACACCGAUGGCGAAGGCAGCCCCCUGGGUCAAGACUGACGCUCAUGCACGAAAGCGUGGGGAGCAAACAGGAUUAGAUACCCUGGUAGUCCACGCCCUAAACGAUGUCUACUAGUUGUCGGGUCUUAAUUGACUUGGUAACGCAGCUAACGCGUGAAGUAGACCGCCUGGGGAGUACGGUCGCAAGAUUAAAACUCAAAGGAAUUGACGG